UUUUUUUGGUUUGUUAUUUUUUUGUCGAGCUCCCUUCUUCUUCUUUUCUUUUCUUUACGUGGUUGGAAAACAACGGUUUGUAGCAUUACCGCCCCCAAUUGGUUCGGAGUUAGGCGUGAUAUGUGACCGCCGUCAAGCCACGAUCUGUGACCCCAGCGUGAUCUAAAGUGCGCAUGCGCGAAAGUUCGACAUCUUGAAUCGCUAACUACGGCAUAUACACUAAGUCAAAAUACGUCAAUUUUGCCUGCGCAGUGGUGCGCCUUCGUUUAUGAUGGGAGUGACAGGAGAAGCGAGAAGAUUGCUUUUUGUUGUUUUGUUUUUAAGAUCUUUUUUUUUUUUGUUCGCGAAUAAAUGAAUAGUGUCGCAGUACUACAUAAAAACGUGGGGGGUAGCAUGAGCUAAGUAGCUGUGCAGUACUUCCGACUCCCGUUGAGCGUGUAACCUGCGUUGGAUAGAAACAUUUAUUAUUGGCUUUGCAGCUUCGAUACCCAUAUCCUUUCUUCGACGUGACACAACAAUAUCCCUCCAAACUCAACAUGCUAGGUCCAAAGGGGACAAAGUUUAGUGUGGAGCUCCACAGUUGCUUUCUAAAAGGACACGUUUGCAAAGGUCCAUCCACUCUUAUGAAGCAUAGUUAGGGAUUAGCUUCUGGCUGCUCUGUAGUUGCAAUAUUUUCUGCUGACCUCGUGUCAUGGGUGGGAGUCUGGGUUGCCACCGCUCCAUCCCCAAAGACCCCACUGAUUUCAGCAACGGUAAGCACAAAUUGAGCACGGCGUGUAACUUUGGAAGCAUUCUGAUGAACCAGGGUGGGAGUCUGGGUUGCCACCGCUCCAUCCCCCCCAAAGACCGCACUGAUUUCAGCAAUGGCAAGCCCAAAUUCAGCACCGCGCAUAACUUUGGAAGCAUGCUGAUGAACCAAGACCGUGUCGACAUCAACACGGCCACUGAGGAGGAACUCAUGACUCUUCCAGGCGUUAACCGCACUGUCGCUCGGAAUAUCGUCGCCUACCGCAACUGCAUUGGUGGAUAUCAGAAAGUGGAAGAUCUGGCACUUGUCGAUGGAAUAGGGGGAGCCAAGCUGGAGGUGAUCAAAGUGGAAAUAUGUGUCUCCAGUCAAAGUUCGUCAACUCCUUGUCCUCACUGUGCCAAGACCUGUAACCGUCGUCUUCUGGCAUGAACGUGGGUGGACACAGCCGCCCUUCGCUCACGAGGAGUACCCGAGGUGGAAUGAGUCGAUCAGACCCCUGUCGGUCCUCCCUCGCCUGGAGCAGAGUUUGUAUUCCGGCAACGCGGGCCCCCUUAGCUUCACAGGCUACACUGUCCUCUUUCUCGGAUAUGCUUAUUCUCUACUAUUCCGCUCUAUGUUUCACACCCCCAUUCCCUCCUAAAUAAAAUAGUAAAUGGGUGACCAGUA